AGUGAACGCUGGCGGUAGGCCUAACACAUGCAAGUCGAACGGCAGCACAGUAAGAGCUUGCUCUUACGGGUGGCGAGUGGCGGACGGGUGAGGAAUACAUCGGAAUCUACUUUUUCGUGGGGGAUAACGUAGGGAAACUUACGCUAAUACCGCAUACGACCUACGGGUGAAAGCAGGGGAUCUUCGGACCUUGCGCGAUUGAAUGCGCCGAUGUCGGAUUAGCUAGUUGGCGGGGUAAAGGCCCACCAAGGCGACGAUCCGUAGCUGGUCUGAGAGGAUGAUCAGCCACACUGGAACUGGGACACGGUCCAGACUCCUACGGGAGGCAGCAGUGGGGAAUAUUGGACAAUGGGCGCAAGCCUGAUCCAGCCAUACCGCGUGGGUGAAGAAGGCCUUCGGGUUGUAAAGCCCUUUUGUUGGGAAAGAAAAGCAGCAGGUUAAUACCCCGCUGUUCUGACGGUACCCAAAGAAUAAGCACCGGCUAACUUCGUG
rnacentral:rRNA from 1 species